UAGGGAAUCUUCGGCAAUGGAGGGAACCCUGACCGAGCAACGCCGCGUGAGUGAAGAAGGUUUUCGGAUCGUAAAGCUCUGUUGUUAAGGAAGAACGUGUGUGAGAGUGGAAAGUUCACACAGUGACGGUACUUAACCAGAAAGGGACGGCUAACUACGUGCCAGCAGCCGCGGUAAUACGUAGGUCCCGAGCGUUGUCCGGAUUUAUUGGGCGUAAAGCGAGCGCAGGCGGUUAGAUAAGUCUGAAGUGAAAGGCAGUGGCUCAACCAUUGUAGGCUUUGGAAACUGUUUAACUUGAGUGCAGAAGGGGAGAGUGGAAUUCCAUGUGUAGCGGUGAAAUGCGUAGAUAUAUGGAGGAACACCGGUGGCGAAAGCGGCUCUCUGGUCUGUAACUGACGCUGAGGCUCGAAAGCGUGGGGAGCGAACAGGAUUAGAUACCCUGGUAGUCCACGCCGUAAACGAUGAGUGCUAGGUGUUAGGUCCUUUCCGGGACUUAGUGCCGCAGCUAACGCAUUAAGCACUCCGCCUGGGGAGUACGACCGCAAGGUUG
rnacentral:rRNA from 1 species